rnacentral:rRNA from 1 species
GACGAACGCUGGCGGCGUGCCUAAUACAUGCAAGUAGAACGCUGAAGGAGGAGCUUGCUUCUCUGGAUGAGUUGCGAACGGGUGAGUAACGCGUAGGUAACCUGCCUGGUAGCGGGGGAUAACUAUUGGAAACGAUAGCUAAUACCGCACAAUAGCAGUUAUUGCAUGAUAACUGUUUGAAAGGUGCAAUUGCACCACUACCAGAUGGACCUGCGUUGUAUUAGCUAGUUGGUGGGGUAACGGCUCACCAAGGCGACGAUACAUAGCCGACCUGAGAGGGUGAUCGGCCACACUGGGACUGAGACACGGCCCAGACUCCUACGGGAGGCAGCAGUAGGGAAUCUUCGGCAAUGGACGGAAGUCUGACCGAGCAACGCCGCGUGAGUGAAGAAGGUUUUCGGAUCGUAAAGCUCUGUUGUAAAGAGAAAGAAACGAAGUGUGAGAAGUGAAAAGUUCCACCACUG